AAUUUUCAAAAUGGCUGCCGUUGCCAUGGAAACAGCAGAAAUGUGAAACUUUUGAAAAUGCUCUUAUAUUACUGAAAAUUUACAGAAAGAUAUAUCGCAAUUCAUAGAUCUGCAUUCACUGUUAAGUUGUUUUGAAAUGGCUACCGCUUAGUGACAAUGGGGGGAAGGGUGACAUCCGCUAUUGCUUGCAAUGGCAAUUCUAGUUAUUAUGUCACCCGAUCGACAAUGUCGGGUGACAUAUUGCUUUUCCUCUGUUUCUUUUUCCGUAUUAUUAUUAUUAUUAUUAUUAUUUUUCUUCCACCUAAUUUUGUCCGGCAGUUUUCUCAGAGCCAAAGGAACCAAUCUGAAUG
rnacentral:lncRNA from 1 species